CGGGCGCGGCGCUAUUUCCAGCCUUGCCGGAGGCUUCGCUCGCACUUCGCUGGGAGCCUUCCCGGCGCGUGAGCCGGAUCCGGUGGCACCGCGGGGAAGAGACAGGACCGGGCGGUGGCGGCAGAGACAGGGGGACGCACCCGGUGCAGAAGAUCCAAUAGGAGCACGCCGCCGCAACCUCUCCCGCGCGCUCCGGUCGCCGACUCUACGCCGAUCGCCCACUCCCCGCACCUUGGACUACACCGGGAAAAAGACGCAGCCUGGCCCGAACUGGGGCGGAGAUCCUUCUUGCUUCCCAAGAGCUCGGGAGGGAAGAUUCUCCCGCCGCCGAGAACCCCGCCGGACUGGAGGAACCCGUGGCCUGGAGAGCGCUGGCUGUGCCAGACCCCAGCCUGAUGGAUGUCUGGUGUGGAUAAUGAGGGAAGAACGUGCCUUUUACACCCAAGAGGUGACCCCGGAGCGUGCCCCGGAUGACCCCACGACUUGGAACGAUGCGACUAGCCUGCAUGUUCUCGUCCAUCCUGCUGUUUGGAGCUGCGGGCCUGCUCCUCUUCAUCAGCCUCCAGGACCCUAUAGAGCUCAGCCCCCAGCAAGUUCCAGGUGAGCCCCGAAGUUGCUACUUAACACUGCAGGCUGCAUGCAGACCUUCCUCAUGGCCCUGGUGUGCCAGGGCUGGGUGACGGUAACCCUUGUAAACAGAGAAAGGGCCCUGGCUUCCUUC
rnacentral:lncRNA from 1 species